rnacentral:lncRNA from 1 species
UUCCAAGGGAGAGAAGAAAGCAACCCCAGGAAGCCUGGCCCCGAAGACUGUGAGGUAUGGUGGGGCCUUGCUGUGCUCUGGACUGGACAAGAGGCACCCUGGGCUCUGGACACAGCCAGAUCUUCAGCCAAUUGCAUCUCCGGCCCAGGGCAGGCCCUUUAUCUUAUAGCCCAGUGGUGCCUCUCUCCUCACCUAGGAAACAAAGCCAACAGGAUCUGCACCACCUCUGCCUCCCGGACAUUGGAAGGACUAAAUAAGAUCAGGGACCUCAUUCCUAGAUGGAACGAGGAAUGGUAGCGACCACGAUCCUCCCCUCCCAGGAUCUGCGCCACAAGGGAAGAUCAGAACCUUCAGCUGCCAGAAGCACUGUGGCGGAAAUGUAGGUCCCCAUCCAGGCUGAUCUGAGCUUGGCUUUCUGGAGCACGCAAACCUCGAUGCACUGAACUGCUGCCGGACCUCACCUUGCCAGGCCCACUGUGCUCACACUCACACAUCGCUCCAUCCACUGGAGGCUGCAGAGGCAAGAUCCACCAAGAAGAUGGUCUUCCUGUCCAGGAUGCCCUUCCCUGAGAGAAGUGUAUUUAAUCUUAAAUUCAGAUGUUUGUUUGUCUACCCACUUAAAACACCCUGUUGAAUAAAAAUUACUCAAGGAAC